rfam:Glossina fuscipes fuscipes unplaced genomic scaffold Scaffold94, whole genome shotgun sequence.
AAUAAAAGUAUCAACCUGUAUUUCCUAGAUCGAGAGGUCCGGGUAAACCGCUGAACCACUUUCAUGCUUGGGAUUGUGAACUGAAACUGUUCAUAUGAAC